CUUCCGUAGGGGUGACCUGCGGAAGGAUCAUUACCUAGAGUUUGUAGACUUCGGUCUGCUACCUCUUACCCAUGUCUUUUGAGUACCUUCGUUUCCUCGGCGGGUCCGCCCGCCGAUUGGACAACAUUCAAACCCUUUGCAGUUGCAAUCAGCGUCUGAAAAAACAUAAUAGUUACAACUUUCAACAACGGAUCUCUUGGUUCUGGCAUCGAUGAAGAACGCAGCGAAAUGCGAUAAGUAGUGUGAAUUGCAGAAUUCAGUGAAUCAUCGAAUCUUUGAACGCACAUUGCGCCCCUUGGUAUUCCAUGGGGCAUGCCUGUUCGAGCGUCAUUUGUACCUUCAAGCUCUGCUUGGUGUUGGGUGUUUGUCUCGCCUCUGCGUGUAGACUCGCCUUAAAACAAUUGGCAGCCGGCGUAUUGAUUUCGGAGCGCAGUACAUCUCGCGCUUUGCACUCAUAACGACGACGUCCAAAAGUACAUUUUUACACUCUUGACCUCGGAUCAGGUAGGGAUACCCGCUGAACUUAAGCAUAUCAAUAAGCGGAGGAAGA
rnacentral:rRNA from 1 species